GUGUCCUAUGCUCUUUCACUGCAAAUACUCUCUCUGUGAGAAGAAACCGUCAGCGGCAAAAAAAACCCGGCACGUUCGAUGUGCGAAUCCGUCUGGUGUCUGCAGUGACUCCACUGUUUGAUGGUGAGCUGUCUGUAGGCGGGCCAUAUCUUGUGCGAGUGACUAAAAUGAGUGAGACAGCAUGGCCCUCAAGUCGGCAGAUCUGCCCCUGAGUCGACUGCUAUCUGGGAUCCAGAGAUCCACCAAAAACUAGAAGGAAAGUUUUUAUGCACAAGUAAAGUUAGCUCCAAAGAUGCAGCAGAAUGUGAACCUCGCAUCAGCCAAACAAAAAUGCUGCGCCCACAAAAAGGUAUACAUCGGCGCAAGAUUUGGAGUUGUUGAUGGACUCAGACUCCGAUAAUUCAUGUUUUGAUCAAUAUUCUGAUACUGAUCUGGAUGAAGUAGCAAACGAGUCUGAUAGGUUGAAUCAGGAUCACCAUGUUGUGACACACACAGAUACAUCAAUCACAGAGGUGAGGGAGACGACUGUGUUGAAAUUUCUAAUCCGUAUUGCGGACGUGCCAAGCUUAGACAGAUAACGUUAACCAGUGGACUUGGACAAAGAAGAUGUGGGCAAAGACAAAGAGCACCCAGUCAUCAACCUGUGGACAGUGACAGUAGUUCAGAGUAUGAUACUUCAGACUCGGAGUGGAGGGAUUCAAGACCCAGGUCUCGUUGUCCAUUCCCACCCACCAGAGGUGCUAGAGACACAGAGUCGGGGAAUUCAAGCCCAGCUCUCCUUCAUUCCAACCUGCCAGAGGUGAUACAGACGCGAAGUCGAGGGCGUGAAGGUCCAGGUCCCAUUGUCCAUUCCCACCUGCCAGAGGUGAUAGAGAUUGAAUAACGAGGCAGAGGCUAGACAUGUGAAAGAGGUCAAAUAUGUGGGCGUGGCAUGGCUGCUAACCAAGCAAGGGUCCCUGUAAAUCAUCCAGGUGCAGUUCCUGGACCUGGUAAUCCUGUGUAGCGUGAAAUGAACUGGCAGCCAAAAAACCUUCCUUUC